rnacentral:rRNA from 1 species
GAUCAUGGCUCAGGAUGAACGCUAGCUACAGGCUUAACACAUGCAAGUCGAGGGGCAGCAUGGUCUUAGCUUGCUAAGGCCGAUGGCGACCGGCGCACGGGUGAGUAACACGUAUCCAACCUGCCGUCUACUCUUGGACAGCCUUCUGAAGGAAGAUUAAUACAAGAUGGCAUCAUGAGUCCGCAUGUUCACAUGAUUAAAGAAAUACGU